rnacentral:rRNA from 1 species
GACGAACGCUGGCGGCGUGCCUAAUACAUGCAAGUAGAACGCUGAAGAGAGGAGCUUGCUCUUCUUGGAUGAGUUGCGAACGGGUGAGUAACGCGUAGGUAACCUGCCUGGUAGCGGGGGAUAACUAUUGGAAACGAUAGCUAAUACCGCAUAAAAUUGAUUAUUGCAUGAUAAUUAAUUGAAAGAUGCCACUGCAUCACUACCAGAUGGACCUGCGUUGUAUUAGCUAGUUGGUGAGGUAACGGCUCACCAAGGCGACGAUACAUAGCCGACCUGAAAGGGUGAACAGACACACUGGGACUAAAGCACAGCCCAGACUCCUACGAGAGGCAGCAGUAGAGAAUCUUCGGCAAUGGGGGGAACCCUGACCGAGCAACGCCGCGUGAGUGAAGAAGGUUGUCGGAUCGUAAAGAUCUGUUGUAAGAGAAGAACGGGUGUGAGAGUGGAAAGUUCACACAGUGACGGUAUCUUACCAGAAAGGGACGGCUAACGACGUG